GUCGAACGGUAACAGGCCGCAAGGUGCUGACGAGUGGCGAACGGGUGAGUAAUGCAUCGGAACGUGCCCAGUCGUGGGGGAUAACGCAGCGAAAGCUGCGCUAAUACCGCAUACGAUCUAUGGAUGAAAGCGGGGGACCGUAAGGCCUCGCGCGAUUGGAGCGGCCGAUGUCAGAUUAGGUAGUUGGUGGGGUAAAGGCUCACCAAGCCGACGAUCUGUAGCUGGUCUGAGAGGACGACCAGCCACACUGGGACUGAGACACGGCCCAGACUCCUACGGGAGGCAGCAGUGGGGAAUUUUGGACAAUGGGCGCAAGCCUGAUCCAGCAAUGCCGCGUGCAGGAAGAAGGCCUUCGGGUUGUAAACUGCUUUUGUACGGAACGAAACGGUCUGGGCUAAUACCCUGGGCUAAUGACGGUACCGUAAGAAUAAGCACCGGCUAACUACGUGCCAGCAGCCGCGGUGAUACGUAGGGUGCGAGCGUUAAUCGGAAUUACUGGGCGUAAAGCGUGC
rnacentral:rRNA from 1 species